CCUACGGGCGGCAGCAGUGAGGAAUAUUGGUCAAUGGACGAGAGUCUGAACCAGCCAAGCAGCGUGAAGGAUGAAUGCCCUAUGGGUUGUAAACUUCUUUUAUAUGGGAAUAAAAUGUUCCACGUGUGGGAUUUUGUAUGUACCAUAUGAAUAAGGAUCGGCUAACUCCGUGCCAGCAGCCGCGGUAAUACGGAGGAUCCGAGCGUUAUCCGGAUGUAUUGGGUUUAAAGGGAGCGUAGGUGGAUUGUUAAGUCAGUUGUGAAAGUUUGCGGCUCAACCGUAGAAUUGCAGUUGAAACUGGCAGUCUUGAGUACAGUAGAGGUGGGCGGAAUUCGUGGUGUAGCGAUGAAAUGCUUAGAUAUCACGAAGAACUCCGAUGGCGAAGGCAGUUCACUGGACUGCAACUGACACUGAGGCUCGAAAGUGUGGGUAUCGAACAGGAUUAGAUACCCGUGUAGUC
rnacentral:rRNA from 1 species